rnacentral:lncRNA from 1 species
GCACGUGCUUCCAAAUUUCUCCACCGAACGCGCGUCUUUCGGGCCAACCCAUCUUGCUUGUAGCUAACGCCUGACCCCAUUUGGGAUGUCUCAUCGAACUUCUCGUCACCUAUUUAUCUGGCUUUCUUUACUAUAUUAAUUAGAGUUUUAUUACGUCUUGCUAAUGACAUUGUUGUACUAAUUGAACCUUUGUUAAUAAAUGUCCAUUGUCAAUUUCAACUCCCA